rnacentral:lncRNA from 1 species
GGGGAGCCGGGGAGCCGGUUCACGACCUGGGUCCGGCCGGCGGGUGGAUGGGUCGGGUGGUCCGACGAAGCAAGCACAAGACCUCCACACCACCGACGCAAGGUGUCUGCACCUGAGGGGCUCAGGCGCGUGCCUGUGCAGACGGACUCCUCCCACCGGCCCUGGGAUCUUGCCCGUUGUUCCGUGCGACCCGGCAAGCGUGCGGCACAGCCCCAAGUACUCAGAGGUCUUCGGAGACGCGGACGCCGGCCCCCGUCCUUAUCACCACAGGUCUCCCAGCCAGCGCUGGCCAGGGCCUUCAACCCAAGGGGACUCUGCUGCCCCGCCCGUUCGCGUGUUCUCCUUGCAGGAGGAGCACCCUCCUCAUCUUCCCCUUGCGGAGCCCAAGGGUUUUGCCUCCUUCCAUCCGGGCGACCCAACAGCACCCCUCAACCUAUGAGAAGCAGAGGUUUCUACUGAAGCCCACCCCCCGUAAUCCAAACCAGCUGACUCCCAAGGACACAGAAUUUCAGGAGGAAAAUUUCAGGUGGAAAAAGCACGCCAUGCCACAGUGGUCCUGCUGCUGGGCCCCACACCCGAAAUUCUACAGCAUCAGCGCCGAGGCCUCAGCCGCCAGCAACCAGCAUGAUUUCCUCUCCCACCACUGGCUCCACUCCCAGGGACAGCUCCACUGCUCCAGGCUGCCCAGGGCAGGCCUGGCCCUGAGCCCAGGACCAGAGCAGCGCCCUCCUCCAAGCACAGGUGAGGCCUCACCAUGGCAACGCCCUCCUCCAAGGACGGGGAGGGACACACAGAUCCAGCGUCUUUCAGUCUCUGUUGGGUCUGGGGGCAACGCAUUCCCCCCCAGACCUCCCAGCCACCUGGGGGACGACCGGAGUCUCAGUGUGGGCAUCCCCGGACUUGCGAAGGGAGCUUCCAGCCACACCACCCGUCCCACCCUGUGACAGGGCUCCACGCAGCCCCGCUGCCCUUGGCCCUCAGCCCUGGUGACGGAACGAAUCCAAGCUCAACCCACCAGCAGCGGGCCCCCCGAGUGGCCUGUUCCCACACAAUCACACUGUCCAAGCAUCGCCUAAAACCCCCGCUUAGGAGUGAAGGACUUUAGGACUCUCUGGUCUCACACGAAUACACUGAAAUCCUGCACGUCUCCAGGCGCACGAAGGCCACGCACGGGGUCAGGGAGAGCUGGUUCUUUCGGGCUGACACACACAAGGGUCAGUCUCACAGCCUGGCCCUGAGGGCGCCCAGAGGGCUGAGCUGAGACACAGACGGGCCUCCUCGGGCAGCCUUCUCCAAACUCCAGUCCAGCAAGUGGGCCUCCAGGCGGGUCUCUGUCUCGUUCCAGGCCUGAAUCUCCCUUUAUUCAAGCACCUUGGCCAACUCACCCCCAUGCCAGCUUCUAAAGCUUUCCACUGCCCUUUCCUCUGUUAAAGGGGACGCGUGCUGCUGCUGGGCACUCGAGAUGCCCUGCACGUGGGAUUCUUUAAUAAUGCUCCUCUGCUCUUGGCCUCCCCGUGUGGGCCUGCCUCUUUUCUCUGGGGUCUGUGUCCUUUGAUCUAACCACGCCUGAUUGAAACAAGUCCCAAGGACAGAGUUUAGGGCAGUCUUCAGGAGGCUUUCUCUUCUGAAGUCCCCACGGGGCCUCUGUCAUGUCAAAUCUCCCCCCGACAAGGACAUUAGGGCCCAGUCAGAUAAUCCAGGAUCAUCUCCUCACUGUAAGACCCUUAACUCAAUCGCAGCCGCGAAGUCCCUUCGGGCAGCAGCUCCACUCAGGGCACAGGGCGGCCAGCCACCCGCACACCGCUGUGCCCCUCGCAACUCCUGGCAACUGUGUUUAGGGGCUUCCGUCUCAGGACCUGUCUCAAGCCUCACGAGCGCUCUUGUGUGUGGGGGUCGCUCUCCAUCGGGUUUGCGGACGACAGACACUUCUGCCACACGUUCUUC